UUCAAUUGAGACAAGAUCUCACUGUGUUGCCUAACAUGGACUGGAACUUCUUGGCUUGAGAAAUCUUCUUGCCUCAGCCUCCCAAAUAGCUAGGACUAUACACACAUGCUACUACACCUAGUGGAAAAUGAAGCACAGAGAAGUUCAGUGACUGACCUCAGAUACUACCAGCAGAAAGCAGAACAGCUAGGAUUUCAACUUAGGAUGUCUGGAUCCACAGUCUGCAGUCCUACCCGCUAUGCUACACUGCCUCUAACUAUGAGGAAGCAGGGGCAUUUUUUUUUUUCUGGUGACUAAAAAGAUACAGUUUAGGUGCAUGGCUCCUGAUAAUCUAACUUACACAGCCUGGAAAAAUUGAUAGUUACUAUAUCCAGACUGUCUCAUUCAAUUAACAGUUUCUCAAGUAAUCUUCUAGUUACUGUCAUAUUUUAUCUGUAUCAACUUAGCAAACCAAGUCCAAAACAUUUUAUACGUGUCUAUCUUUUCCACUGUUCAUAUUAUUGAGUUAGCCAAAUAAAUUUAAUUUUUAUUU